GAUGAAGAACGUAGCAAAAUGCGAUAAGUAAUGUGAAUUGCAGAAUUCAGUGAAUCAUCGAAUCUUUGAACGCACAUUGCGCCCGCCAGUAUUCUGGCGGGCAUGUCUGUUCGAGCGUCAUUUCAACCCUCAAGCACAGCUUGGUGUUGGGACUCGCGUUAAUUCGCGUUCCCCAAAUUGAUUGGCGGUCACGUCGAGCUUCCAUAGCGUAGUAGUAAAACCCUCGUUACUGGUAAUCGUCGCGGCCACGCCGUUAAACCCCAACUUCUGAAUGUUGACCUCGGAUCAGGUAGGAAUACCCGCUGAACUUAAGCAUAUCAAUAAGCGGAGGA
rnacentral:misc_RNA from 1 species